AACGAACGCUGGCGGCAGGCCUAACACAUGCAAGUCGAACGAACCGUUUACGGUGAGUGGCGCACGGGUGAGUAACACGUGGGAAUAUACAUUUCGGUAAGGAAUAACGUAGAGAAAUUUACGCUAAUACCUUAUAAUGACUACGGUCCAAAGAUUUAUCGCCGAAGGAUUAGCCCGCGUUAGAUUGGGUAGUUGGUAGGGUAAUGGCCUACCAAGCCUACGAUCUAUAGCUGGUCUUAGAGGAUGAUCAGCCACACUGGAACUGAGACACGGUCCAGACUCCUACGGGAGGCAGCAGUGAGGAAUAUUGCGCAAUGGGGGAAACCCUGACGCAGCCAUGCCGCGUGAGUGACGAAGGCCUUAGGGUUGUAAAGCUCUUUCAGAUGUAAAGAUAAUGACGGUAACAUCAGAAGAAGCUCCGGCUAAGUUCGUGCCAGCAGCCGCGGUAA
rnacentral:rRNA from 1 species